CACAGCUGACUGCAGGAACCCAUUGCUGCCAAACCUGGAGCAAGGGCCGCACCCAGAUGGCCACCAUCUGCCUCAACAACCACGAAGCUGUAAGAGUGGGGCCAAGUGGGCCAAGGUGCCCGAGCUCAAGGAGCACAACGGGCAGGUAAAAGGCAUCAACUGGGCCUCCAAGAGUAACCUCAUCGUGACCUAUGGCACAGGCCACAAGGCCUCUGUGUGGACGCUGACGGGCCAGGAGGGUAAGCCCGCACCCACUGCCUGCUGUGUGUGCUGGGCCCACAGGACAAGUUUGCUGUGGGCGGCAGCUGUGUGUCAUCGCCAUCUGUUAUUUCCAGCGGGAGAAUAACUGGUGGGUGUGCAAGUACAUCAAGAAGCCCAUUGGCUCCACCAUCCUCAGCCUGGACUGGCAUCCCAGCAACGUGCUCCUGGCUAAUGCCCCCUGCGACGUCAAGCAUGGGAUCCUCGGUAUACAUCAAGUGCGUGGAGGAGCGGCCGGCACCUCCACCAUGGGACUCCAACAUACCCUUUGGGGUGCUGAUGUCUGAGGCCAGCGGUAGGUGCGGCUGGGUGCUCAGGUUGGCUUCUCAGUCAGCGGGUGCCUCACGGCCUGGGUCAGCCACGACAGCACUGCGUGCCUGGCUGAUGCCAACAAGAGGAGGGCCUUGCAACCCUGGCCCCCACCUUCACCACAGAAGGCAGCCUGGUGGCAGCAGGCGACGACUGCUUCCGGGUGCUGUUU
rnacentral:lncRNA from 1 species